UAGGGAAUUUUGCGCAAUGGGGGAAACCCUGACGCAGCAACACCGCGUGAAUGUUAAGCCCUUCGGGGUGUAAAGUUCUGUCAGUGGGGACGAAAUAUGACUGUACCCACAAAGGAAGCUUCGGCUAACUACGUGCCAGCAGCCGCGGUAAUACGUAGGGAGCGAGCGUUGUCCGGAAUUACUGGGUGUAAAGAGUACGUAGGCUGUCAAGUAAGUCUGGCGUGAAAGGCAAGGGCUCAACCCUUGGACUGCGCCGGAUACUGCGUGACUAGAGUAAUGGAGGGGGAACCGGAAUUCUCGGUGUAGCAGUGAAAUGCGUAGAUAUUAGGAGGAACACCAGAGGCGAAGGCGACUUACUGGACAAUAACUGACGUUGAGGCGCGAAAGCGUGGGGAGCAAACA
rnacentral:rRNA from 1 species